rnacentral:rRNA from 1 species
ACUUUUGACGGUGGAUCUCUUGGCUCACGCAUCGAUGAAGAACGCAGCCAGCUGCGAUAAGUAGUGUGAAUUGCAGAAUUCAGUGAAUCAUCGAAUCUUUGGACGCAAAUGGCGCUCUUGGGUUCUCCCAGGAGCAUGUCUGUCUGAGUGUCGGAUAU